rnacentral:rRNA from 1 species
UACGUAGGGUGCGAGCGUUGUCCGGAAUUAUUGGGCGUAAAGGGCUCGUAGGCGGUUUGUCGCGUCGGGAGUGAAAUCCACUGGCUUAACUGGUGGCUUGCUUUCGAUACGGGCAGACUGGAGGUAUGCAGGGGAGAACGGAAUUCCUGGUGUAGCGGUGAAAUGCGCAGAUAUCAGGAGGAACACCGGUGGCGAAGGCGGUUCUCUGGGCCAUUACUGACACUGAGAAGCGAAAGCAUGGGGAGCGAACAGG